rfam:Triticum urartu cultivar G1812 contig1443450, whole genome shotgun sequence.
AAAAUACUCCCUCCGAUCGGAAAUACUUGUCUUAAAAAUGGUUGUAUCUAGAACUAAAAUAAGUCUAGACACAACCAUUUCUAGGACAAGUAUUUCUGAACGGAGGGAGUACAAG